rnacentral:rRNA from 1 species
GGGGAAUCUUGCACAAUGGAGGAAACUCUGAUGCAGCGACGCCGCGUGAGCGAUGAAGCCCUUCGGGGUGUAAAGCUCUUUCGACGGGAACGAUAAUGACGGUACCCGGAGAAGAAGCUGCGGCUAACUACGUGCCAGCAGCCGCGGUAAUACGUAGGCAGCAAACGUUGUUCGGAAUUACUGGGCGUAAAGAGUGUGUAGGCGGUUUUGCAAGGUUGGUGUGAAAUCUCCCGGCUGAACUGGGAGGGUGCGCCGAAAACUGCAAGGCUCGAGUACUGGAGAGGAAAGCGGAAUUCCUGGUGUAGCGGUGAAAUGCGUAGAUAUCAGGAGGAACACCGGUGGUGUAGACGGCUUUCUGGACAGUCACUGACGCUGAGACACGAAAGCGUGGGGAGCAAACA